rnacentral:rRNA from 1 species
UACGGAGGGGGCUAGCGUUAUUCGGAAUUACUGGGCGUAAAGCGCACGUAGGCGGCUUUGUAAGUAAGAGGUGAAAGCCCGGAGCUCAACUCCGGAACUGCCUUUUAGACUGCAUCGCUUGAAUCCAGGAGAGGUGAGUGGAAUUCCGAGUGUAGAGGUGAAAUUCGUAGAUAUCGAGAGGAACACCGGUGGCGAAGGCGGCCAACUGGACGAACACUGACGCUGAGACUCGAAAGCGUGGGGAGCAAACAGG